GAUUAACGCUAGCGGCAGGCAUAAUACAUGCAAGUUGAACGGCAGCACAGGUAGCAAUACUGGGUGGCGAGUGGCGCACGGGUGCGUAACACGUAUGCAACCUACCCUAUACAGGCGAAUAACCUUUAGAAAUGAGGGCUAAUACGCCGUAGUAUUACAGAUGGGCAUCUAUUUGUAAUUAAAGAUUUAUCGGUACAGGAUGGGCAUGCGUCCCAUUAGUUAGUUGGUAAGGUAACGGCUUACCAAGACGAUGAUGGGUAGGGGAUCUGAGAGGACUUACCCCCACACUGGUACUGAGACACGGACCAGACUCCUACGGGAGGCAGCAGUAAGGAAUAUUGGGCAAUGGCCGCGAGGCUGACCCAGCCAUGCCGCGUGCAGGAAGACGGCCUUAUGGGUUGUAAACUGCUUUUAUACGGGAAUAAUAGAGUGUACGCGUACAUUUAUGCAAGUAUCGUAUGAAUAAGCAUCGGCUAACUCCGUG
rnacentral:rRNA from 1 species